UACGGAGGAUCCGAGCGUUAUCCGGAUUUAUUGGGUUUAAAGGGUGCGUAGGCGGCCCAUUAAGUCAGGGGUGAAAUACGGCAGCUCAACUGUCGCAGUGCCUUUGAUACUGAUGGGCUUGAAUGUGGUUGAAGAUGGCGGAAUGAGACAAGUAGCGGUGAAAUGCAUAGAUAUGUCUCAGAACUCCGAUUGCGAAGGCAGCUAUCUAAGCCAUUAUUGACGCUGAUGCACGAAAGCGUGGGGAUCAAACAGG
rnacentral:rRNA from 1 species